AUGGGUCCUGGGCUUGUCCACUGUGUGGCUCUUUGCCUCUUUGGAGCAGGCCACAUGGGUGCUAUGGUCAUCCAGAACCCAAGAUACCAGGUUACCAGGAUGGGAAAACCAGUGAACCUGAGUUGUUCUCAGGAUCUGAAUCAUGAUGUUAUGUACUGGUACCAGCAGCAGCGGAGCCAAGCUCCAAAGCUGCUGUUCUACUAUUAUGAUAAAGAAUUUAACAAAGAGACAGACACCUCUGAUAACUUCCAAUCCAGCCGGCCUAACACCUCUUUCUGCUCUCUGGGCAUCCGCUCACCAAGUGUGGAGGACUCAGCCGUGUACCUGUGUGCCAGCAGCAAAGACACAGAGCUGCAGCCUUACCUCCUGUCUGUUCAUAAACCUCUUUGUUCCCCAGGUCCAAGUGUCUUGUCCAACCACUUCCUUCUUAUAACAAUAGGAAGUGGGCUUGUGACUGCUGUUAUCUCAUUUGUAGACAGAAAUUGA